UAAACAUUUCAAAUUUAUAUUCAUUUAAAUAUUUUUAUUGUAACCCAUUUCUACUUAAAUAUUAGCUACACCUUGAUCUGAUAUAUUUUCUUUUUAAAAAUUAUGAAAAUUAACAUUCUUAUAAAAUAUUCUAAUAACGACGGUAUAUAAACUGAUUACAAACUUAAGUAAGGUCCAUCGUGGAUUAUCGAUUACAGAACAGGUUCCUCUGAAUAGACUAAAAUACCGCCAAAUUUUUUAAGUUUCAAGAACAUAACUACUACUACCUUAGUUUUUAAAUUUACAUUUUAAAUAAUAGGGUAUCUAAUCCUAGUUUAUUAUUAAAAUUUUCAAGCUUCAAUUAUUUUAUAUAAAAAAUUUAUAAAUUUAAAAUUUCACCUAAUAAAUUUAUUUUUAUUUUAUAAAUAAACAACUUAACUUUAACCAAAGAAAAUUUAUUUGCAUUAUUCGUAUAACCGCGGCUGCUGGCACAAAUUUAGCCAAUACUCUUUAAUAUUACUAUUUCUAAGUUUCCUUA
rnacentral:rRNA from 1 species